CGGCGGACGGGUGAGUAAUGCCUAGGAAUCUGCCUGGUAGUGGGGGACGAACGUUUCGAAAGGAAACGCUAAUACCGCAUACGUCCUACGGGAGAAAGCAGGGGACCUUCGGGCCUUGCGCUAUCAGAUGAGCCUAGGUCGGAUUAGCUAGUUGGUGAGGUAAUGGCUCACCAAGGCGACGAUCCGUAACUGGUCUGAGAGGAUGAUCAGUCACACUGGAACUGAGACACGGUCCAGACUCCUACGGGAGGCAGCAGUU
rnacentral:rRNA from 1 species